AACCACAAAACCAACACUACCGUAACCACAAAGGCCCGGAACAACAUAGGAAAAAGGCUCAUGGCAUCAUCCAUGGCGCCUGCUCUAUCUUCUUCACCCCUCUUCAAACCCCUUGAUAAAUCACCAACAAUCACCCCUUUCUCACCCUCCUCAAACUCCCUCCAAAUCAACUUCGACUCACCCAGACUCUUAUUACGAUUCAACCACACUACCCUAACCACAAUCAGCAGCUGUGCAGCACCGGCAUCGAAUUCAAGUUUAGCACUCACUGCUCCAUCAUUACAUGAAGCCAAUGGCCAGAACCACUGGAUUGUCGUCGUUAAGGCUCCUCCACCGGAACAAGCUGGUUCCAGACCAGAUGUUAUCGAUUAUUAUGUCCAAAUUUUGACCAGGGUUUUGGGCAGCGAGAAGGAUGCCCAAUGCUGCAUAUACAAUGCUUCUUGUGACACGCCGCGAUACAGGUUCUGCUGCAAUUUAGAUGAAGAAGCGUCUCAAGAACUCGCGUGUUUGCCUGAAGUAUUAUCGAUCAAGCCCGAUCCAGAUGUCCGUUCUAUACAAAAGGAUUACAGUGAUCCGAAUGAUGAAUCGAGUUCAAAUAAUGACGCAUUCCCUCCAUUAUUUCCUGGUGGAAGCUCGAAGCAUUGGGUUGUUCGUGUAGAAAUGCCAGAAUCGAGAGUCAUCAACAGGGCACAGUUGGUUGAUUAUUACACCGAGACGCUAACCAAGGUUUUGGGGAACGAGAAGGAUGCCCAAAUGUGUAUGUAUCACAUAUCAUUACAACCUGAUUAUGGAUUCUGUUGUGAACUAGACGAUGAGUGCGCAAAGGAAUUAGCCGGUGUUCCUGGUGUUAUAUCUGUUAGGCCAGAUAAUAAUGUCAAUUCAGAUCAUAAAGAUUAUGAAGGUUACAAUCUUGAACAUUCUAGUAACUCGGAGGAUUUCUCAACGAAUCAACCAACCAAUAUCAAAACAAAGAAGCUUUUUGUAACAGGUCUGUCAUUUUAUACAUCCGAGAAAACCUUACGUGCAGCAUUUGAAGGGUUCGGAGAGCUUGUUGAGGUUAAAAUUAUUAUGGACAAGAUCUCCAAAAGGUCAAAGGGUUUUGCGUUUAUUGAGUACACUACUGAAGAAGCUGCAGCCGCAGCUCUCAAAGAAAUGAACAGCAAGAUCAUAAACGGUUGGAUGAUAGUCGUUGAUGUUGCGAAAACAAAACCACCAAAGUACAGCCGAGGGCGCCCGAGACCAACAAGUUGAUGCUUUUUAGGAAACAACAAAUUACAAGAUUCAAUAUAUAUUAUUAUGUGGUGUUACAGUUUUGUCACCUUUCAUGAUAGUUAGGAUUCUUAUCAUACGUUACUCGAUAUUAGAUUAGUACAUCGGUAGUAAAGAAAACGAUCCUUUUCUUGUGUAAGCAUGGGUGUAACUAGAGGCAAUUCGGUUGCAUCGACUGACAAUUUUCUGUUAGCAAAGGUA